GAUGAACGCUGGCGGCGUGCCUAAUACAUGCAAGUCGAGCGAACAGACGAGGAGCUUGCUCCUCUGACGUUAGCGGCGGACGGGUGAGUAACACGUGGAUAACCUACCUAUAAGACUGGGAUAACUUCGGGAAACCGGAGCUAAUACCGGAUAAUGUAUUGAACCGCAUGGUUCAAUAGUGAAAGACGGUUUUGCUGUCACUUAUAGAUGGAUCCGCGCCGCAUUAGCUAGUUGGUAAGGUAACGGCUUACCAAGGCAACGAUGCGUAGCCGACCUGAGAGGGUGAUCGGCCACACUGGAGCUGAGACACGGUCCAGACUCCUACGGGAGGCAGCAGUAGGGAAUCUUCCGCAAUGGGCGAAAGCCUGACGGAGCAACGCCGCGUGAGUGAUGAAGGUCUUCGGAUCGUAAAACUCUGUUAUUAGGGAAGAACAAAUGUGUAAGUAACUAUGCACGUCUUGACGGUACCUAAUCAGAAAGCCACGGCUAACUACGUG
rnacentral:rRNA from 1 species